rnacentral:rRNA from 2 species
UACGGGGGGGGCAAGCGUUGUUCGGAAUUACUGGGCGUAAAGGGCUCGUAGGCGGCCAACUCAGUCGGACGUGAAAUCCCUCGGCUUAACCGGGGAACUGCGUCCGAUACUGGAUGGCUCGAGUGUGGGAGAGGGAUGCGGAAUUCCAGGUGUAGCGGUGAAAUGCGUAGAUAUCUGGAGGAACACCGGUGGCGAAGGCGGCAUCCUGGACUACUACUGACGCUGAGGAGCGAAAGCCAGGGGAGCAAACGGG